AUUGAACGCUGGCGGCAUGCUUUACACAUGCCAGUCGAACGGCAGCGGGGAGGAGCUUGCUUCUCUGCCGGCGAGUGGCGAACGGGUGAGUAAUACAUCGGAACGUGUCGAGAAGAGGGGGAUAACCACCCGAAAGGGUGGCUAAUACCGCAUAAAUUCUGAGGAAGAAAGCUGGGGACCUAGGAAUAGGCCUAGCGCUUUUUGAGCGGCCGAUGUCGGAUUAGCUAGUUGGUGAGGUAAAGGCUCACCAAGGCGAAGAUCUGUAGCGGGUCUGAGAGGAUGAUCCGCCACACUGGGACUGGAACAAGGCCCAGACGCCUACGGGAGGCAGCAGUGGGGAAUUUUGGACAAUGGGGGCAGCCCUGAUCCAGCCAUGCCGCGUGUAUGAAGAAGGCCUUAGGGUUGUAAAGUACUUUUGUUAGGGAAGAAAAGUCAGCUGUGAAUAAUGGCUGAUACUGACGGUACCUAAAGAAUAAGCACCGGCUAACUAAGUG
rnacentral:rRNA from 1 species